rnacentral:rRNA from 1 species
UACGGAGGAUCCGAGCGUUGUCCGGAUUUACUGGGCGUAAGGGCGCGUAGGCGGUCGUGACAAGUCACUUGUGAAAUCUCCGGGCUUAACUCGGAACGGUCAAGUGAUACUGUCGGACUAGAGUACAGAAGGGGGCAACUGGAAUUCUCGGUGUAGCGGUGAAAUGCGUAGAUAUCGAGAGGAACACCUGCGGCGAAGGCGGGUUGCUGGGCUGAUACUGACGCUGAGGCGCGGAAAGCCAGGGGAGCGAAACGGG